rnacentral:rRNA from 1 species
GGCGAGUGAAGCGGGAAGAGCCCAGGUUGAAAAUUUAGGCGUUUUAGUGUCUAAAAUUGUAGUCUAGAGACGGUGUUUCCAGUUGUUGGUAUGUGCUUUAGGUUCCUUGGAAGAGGACGCCAUAGAGGGUGAGAGUCCCGUUUAGGCACGUGUUGGCAGCGUCCGGGUAUUGUUCUACGAGUCGAGUUGCUUGGGACUGCAGCUCCAAGUUGGUGGUAAAUUCCAUCAAAGGCUAAAUAGCGGCGAGAGACCGAUAGCGAACAAGUAGCGUGAGCGAAAGAUGACAAGAACUUUGAAAAGAGAGUGAAAGAGUACCUGAAAUCGUUGAAAGGGAAGGGUUUGCGUCCAGUGUUGGUUUUGCGUGUGGUUG